AAGAAGCUUGCUUCUUUGCUGACGAGUGGCGGACGGGUGAGUAAUGUCUGGGAAACUGCCCGAUGGAGGGGGAUAACUACUGGAAACGGUAGCUAAUACCGCAUAACGUCUUCGGACCAAAGAGGGGGACCUUCGGGCCUCUUGCCAUCGGAUGUGCCCAGAUGGGAUUAGCUAGUAGGUGGGGUAACGGCUCACCUAGGCGACGAUCCCUAGCUGGUCUGAGAGGAUGACCAGCCACACUGGAACUGAGACACGGUCCAGACUCCUACGGGAGGCAGCAGUGGGGAAUAUUGCACAAUGGGCGCAAGCCUGAUGCAGCCAUGCCGCGUGUAUGAAGAAGGCCUUCGGGUUGUAAAGUACUUUCAGCGGGGAGGAAGGGAGUGAGGUUAAUAACCUCAUUCAUUGACGUUACCCGCAGAAGAAGCACCGGCUAACUCCGUGCCAGCAGCCGCGGUAAUACGGAGGGUGCAAGCGUUAAUCGGAAUUACUGGGCGUAAAGCGCACGCAGGCGGUCUGUCAAGUCGGAUGUGAAAUCCCCGGGCUCAACCUGGGAACUGCAUUCGAAACUGGCAGGCUUGAGUCUCGUAGAGGGGGGUAGAAUUCCAGGUGUAGCGGUGAAAUGCGUAGAGAUCUGGAGGAAUACCGGUGGCGAAGGCGGCCCCCU
rnacentral:rRNA from 1 species